CUCUCGAUCAUCCGUGCACAAUUUAUCACAACCGCGUCGCAAUUUUUCUUGACGAGUAGCCGAACUCCUCGAGAACCGCCAUUAUUUUAAAAUAACACAACCGAACAAGUUUGUCAAGAAAUCAGUCGCAACAUUCUCGAAAACUCAACUCGACAAAAUGAAUUUCCUCGUCGAAAUUCUCUUCGAACGUGUCACGGUAGAAAGAUGUAACACGAUAUCACUCGAUUGAGAUAUAAUAGCUGAAGGACAAAAUGGAUAAGCAGAUAACGGUUAAUUACACGAGAAGUGAUGGGCGGCAUACCUGAUCCCGAAGGAUACGGGUGCAGUACGACAUUAUGCUGGACGAAGAUUCAGCCUCCCGAUGACGUUGCGACUCGUCGAAACGAGGUUUAUAGGUGGAGGGAAGCGCAGGCGUGUGACAAAGAGGAGCGAAAAGUCGCGUCUCGUCUCGUGGCAGUCCUUCUCAAACCGGCCACUAGAGAACUGAGUGAAAUUCUGCUUGGCUUUCUCGUGUCAAUGCUGCGGGGCCACGCAUGCGCCCCUUUCUAUAUUUGAAUACGAAUUUUCUGAGAACGACUGGCUGGCGCCUCCGCUAUACAGUUAGCUAUUCACGAACGGACACUUUCGUGACAACACUUUCGAGCAACCAAUCGGAGUUUUGGCUGAUCGGAUCGUAACAGCUGUUCAUUCAGCUCCUCACGGCGCAGAUGCCGUUGGAGUACAGUUUGGUCAAUUCAAAUUCGUUGUACGCACGAUAGAUUAGUCGGAGAGAGAGAGAGAGAGAGAGAGUUAGAAUGGGGAAAAAUAUUCGUCAAGAAAAAAAAGUAAUGAAAUGAGAUUAAGAUUGUUUUGAUUUCGAAAUUUGCGAAGGAUAAAAGUACUGUGAAAUAAUUUUUGAAAAAGUACCGUGAAAAAUAAAUAUUAUGAUAAUAUUCGAAUGAAAUUUUAUUUGCAAUUGGAAAUGAAUUCGAUCUAAGUCGUAAAAGUGGUUACAAUUGAAAAAUAAUCGACGAUUGUUGUAUGAAAGUUCGAAUAGAAUCAACGCAAUCUAGAAGAAUUUAUUGGGUCAAUCAUUUUAAAUUGAUCUAUAACACGUGUCUAUAUAUAAAUCGUUUGUAAAUUACGAUUGUUUUCGAUCUUUCUUUAACGCUGAUCAUCUUUCUUUUUCUGGCAAAGUUUUAUUGAUCGAAAUGUACUAUAGUCAAGUUUAGUAGAUAGCAGCGCACCGAGUGUUGUUGAAUGGAACUUAUCGUUUGUAAUUCAAGAAACUCCCUACAGAGGGCAACCAAGUCUCCGUUAAUCGAUCAGACUCUAAGGUAGAUUUCGAUUACGAGGGAAAUUUAAAAUUGGCUUCGCUUCGAUAUUUCGAUAUAAUUUUAAGCGUAUUAAAUUUUUCAAUUAAUUUAUCAAAGAUAAAUUAAAAUAAGAAAAAUAUACGAUGAUAAAUCAAGAUGAGAAUGAUGAAAUAGAUGGAAAUUAAAUGUAAAAUUAUAAAUUUUACAAGAAAGAUUGCUAUUAUUGAUCUACUAAUUAUUUAUGGAAAUAAAUAAUAAGAAAUUUUAUAAGGCUUGAAGAAUAAGUUUAAUGGAUCAAUUGUUUCAACAUUUUUGCUACCUAAUUCUUGCUCCAAUCAACGUUAUUUUUACUCGCAACGUCAUAUCAGUUUAUGAGUCUCUUCGAUGUCAACAAUUAUUGCAACAUAUCCAUCAUACAAAUGCAUUUGUACUUGAACAUUGUACCAUAUAUACAUCGGAAGAUAUCUUACGAAGAAUAAAUCAAUACAAUUCUGACAUAGUUAAAUAUUA